rnacentral:rRNA from 1 species
GAUGAACGCUAGCGGCAGGCCUAAUACAUGCAAGUCGGACGGGAUCUAUCGGAGAGCUUGCUCGAAGAUAGUGAGAGUGGCGCACGGGUGCGUAACGCGUGAGCAACCUACCCAUAUCAGGGGGAUAGCCCGGAGAAAUCCGGAUUAAGACCGCAUAACACUGUGAUUUGGCAUCAUGUUACAGUUAAAUAUUUAUAGGAUAUGGAUGGGCUCGCGUGACAUUAGCUAGUUGGUGAGGUAACGGCUCACCAAGGCGACGAUGUCUAGGGGCUCUGAGGAGAGAAUCCCCCACACUGGUACUGAGACACGGAACAGACUCCUACGGGAGGCAGCAGUAAGGAAUAUUGGUCAAUGGGCGGAAGCCUGAACCAGCCAUGCCGCGUGCAGGACGACUGCCCUAUGGGUUGUAAACUGCUUUUGUCGAGGAAUAAACCUAUCUACGUGUAGAUAGCUGAACGUACUCGAAGAAUAAGGAUCGGCUAACUCCGUGCCAGCCGCCGCAGUAA